rnacentral:rRNA from 1 species
GAUGAACGCUGGCGGCGUGCCUAAUACAUGCAAGUCGAGCGAACAGAUGAGGAGCUUGCUCCUCUGACGUUAGCGGCGGACGGGUGAGUAACACGUGGAUAACCUACCUAUAAGACUGGGAUAACUUCGGGAAACUGGAGCUAAUACCGGAUAAUAUAUUGAACCGCAUGGUUCAAUAGUGAAAGACGGUUUUGCUGUCACUUAUAGAUGGAUCCGCGCCGCAUUAGCUAGUUGGUAAGGUAACGGCUUACCAAGGCAACGAUGCGUAGCCGACCUGAGAGGGUGACCGGCCACACUGGAACUGAGACACGGUCCAGACUCCUACGGGAGGCAGCAGUAGGGAAUCUUCCGCAAUGGGCGAAAGCCUGACGGAGCAACGCCGCGUGAGUGAUGAAGGUCUUCGGAUCGUAAAACUCUGUUAUUAGGGAAGAACAAAUGUGUAAGUAACUAUGCACGUCUUGACGGUACCUAAUCAGAAAGCCACGGCUAACUACGUG